UGGGGAAUCUUGGACAAUGGGCGCAAGCCUGAUCCAGCCAUGCCGCGUGAGUGAUGAAGGCCUUAGGGUUGUAAAGCUCUUUUGGCGGGGACGAUAAUGACGGUACCCGCAGAAUAAGUCCCGGCUAACUUCGUGCCAGCAGCCGCGGUAAUACGAAGGGGACUAGCGUUGUUCGGAAUCACUGGGCGUAAAGCGCACGUAGGCGGAUUUGUAAGUCAGGGGUGAAAUCCCGGGGCUCAACCUCGGAACUGCCUUUGAUACUGCGGAUCUCGAGUCCGAUAGAGGUGGGUGGAAUUCCUAGUGUAGAGGUGAAAUUCGUAGAUAUUGGGAAGAACACCAGUGGCGAAGGCGGCUAACUGGUCCGGUACUGACGCUGAGGUGCGAAAGCGUGGGGAGCAAACAGGAUUAGAUACCCCCGUAGUCCCUGAGCGGGCUGGCAAGGCGCAU
rnacentral:rRNA from 1 species